rnacentral:rRNA from 1 species
GUGCUUGACUGCGAGACGGACAGGUCGAGCAGGGGCGAAAGCCGGUCUUAGUGAUCCGGUGGUUCCGUAUGGAAGGGCCAUCGCUCAACGGAUAAAAGGUACUCCGGGGAUAACAGGCUGAUACCGCCCAAGAGUCCCUAUCGACGGCGGUGUUUGGCACCUCGAUGUCGGCUCAUCACAUCCUGGGGCUGUAGUCGGUCCCAAGGGUAUGGCUGUUCGCCAUUUAAAGUGGUACGCGAGCUGGGUUUAGAACGUCGUGAGACAGUUCGGUCCCUAUCUGCCGUGGGCGUUGGAGCGUUGAGGGGAGCUGUUCCUAGUACGAGAGGACCGGAAUGGACAGACCUCUGGUGUACCGGUUGUCACGCCAGUGGCAGCGCCGGGUAGCUACGUCCGGACGGGAUAACCGCUGAAAGCAUCUAAGCGGGAAGCCCUCCCCAAGAUUAGCGCUCCCGAGUCCUUGCGACUCCUAAAGGUUCGUUGAAGACCACAACGUCGAUAGGCGUGGCGGUGGACGCGCAGUAAUGCGUGCAGCCGACCCGUACUAAUCAACCGUGCGGCUUGACCCGCUAACACCCAA